AAACUUCUUCUUCACUCUCUCUCAAAACUUCCCAAUCGCUAACAAACUUCACCUAAAAUCGACAAUCAGAGAGACGAAAAUCGAACAAACAACAACAAAAACAGCAUCAACGAUGGAUUCAGAGAGUUCUAAGAGAUCUACAAGAAGCCAGAAGCAUAAAGAAACAAAACAUGAUGACGAUUUCGAAGGUUUGUUAAGGAUCUGUAAACGAACAGAUUUCUAGGGUUUUAAUAUGUCUAAACUGAUUCAUGUUCUGCAUUUUAUUAAACAGAUCGAUCGUUGUGUUUUUUAUGAAA